UACGUGAGGUGCAAACGUUACCCGGAAUUAUUGGGCGUAAAGCGCGCGUAGGCGGACCUGCAGGUCAGAUGUGAAAUCUCGGGGCUCAACCCCGAAACUGCGUCUGAAACUACAGGUCUAGAAUCUUGGAGGGGGAAGGGGAAUUUCGCAUGUAGGGGUAAAAUCCGUAGAUAUGCGAAGGAACACCAGAGGCGAAGGCGCCUUCCUGGACAAGUAUUGACGCUGAGGCGCGAAAGCGUGGGGAUCAAACAGGAUUAGAAACCCCGGUAGU
rnacentral:rRNA from 1 species